rnacentral:rRNA from 1 species
GCGAACGCUGGCGGCAGGCUUAACACAUGCAAGUCGAGCGCCCCGCAAGGGGAGCGGCAGACGGGAGAGUAACACGUGGGAACGUGCCCUUUGGUUCGGAACAACCCAGGGAAACUUGGGCUAAUACCGGAUACGUCCGUAAGGAGAAAGAUUUAUCGCCAAAGGAUCGGCCCGCGUCUGAUUAGCUUGUUGGUGAGGUAAUGGCUCACCAAGGCUACGAUCAGUAGCUGGUCUGAGAGGAUGAUCAGCCUCACUGGGACUGAGACACGGCCCAGACUCCUACGGGAGGCAGCAGUGGGGAAUAUUGGACAAUGGGCGCAAGCCUGAUCCAGCCAUGCCGCGUGGAUGAUGAAGGCCCUAGGGUUGUAAAGUCCUUUCGGCGGGGAAGAUAAUGACGGUACCCGCAGAAGAAGCCCCGGCUAACUUCGU